CGACGCUUGCGACCGGAGUCAGAGCCCCCGUCGACGCCGGCACCUGCCCCAGACAAGUAACGCUUCAGAUACUCGGCCUUGGAGAGCGGCGGAGCUGCCGCCAUGGCAGCGGUGAGGGCGGGGAGACGGCUCGGCGCUGGGGACAAAAUUCUUGAACGCGAAACGCACGGCGGGGACCCGGAGGGGCGGGGCCGGGACCGGAAGUGGCGAAGACUGGUGGAACUGCCCCGGGCUGACAGGAGCGCGCUUUUGCAGGCUCACGAGGAGUGCGCAUGAGGAAACCGAAGCUUGGAGAGGUUAAGGAAGUUGCCCAACUUCACACAGCCAAAACGGGACCCUUGGAAGCAGAAGGUAGCAAAGUGAAGUUCAAAAGCUCUCAGAACACCAGCAGCCAAGUCCUCCUCCUCAGGCCAGGAAACAGAACACCCGCUGAUGGGAAUCUGAGCAGCCCAAGAGGAAAAACCUAAGGACUCUGGCACUGGGGUUACCUCCACAAAAUGGCUAAGCUAAAUCCCCCUACAAUGAGCCCGACGUGAAUUAAGAUUCAACUCCACGACUAUCAGACAUGUGAGCAAAGCCCCAACCUUGAAAGA